AAGCUAUACUUGAGGAAUAUUUCUAUUGUAACCACAGAAAUUUCCCUGACCNUUAGAGUACCUGAAAUCAUGGGAAGGAGACACAGCAUUCUUUCCUGAGCAUGACGCCACUGCUGGUGUCACUUUGCCANAAUGGCUACAUGCCAUUGAUGAGUGUCCUUCUCUUCCUGUGGGAGAGCAAGAAGAAGGUGCCAUGUGAGUGGU
rnacentral:snoRNA from 1 species